rnacentral:rRNA from 1 species
CGCGUAGGUGGCCAAUUAAGUCAAAUGUGAAAUCCCCGAGCUUAACUUGGGAAUUGCAUUCGAUACUGGUUGGCUAGAGUAUGGGAGAGGAUGGUAGAAUUCCAGGUGUAGCGGUGAAAUGCGUAGAGAUCUGGAGGAAUACCGAUGGCGAAGGCAGCCAUCUGGCCUAAUACUGACACUGAGGUGCGAAAGCAGUGGGGAGCAAACAG